rnacentral:rRNA from 1 species
CCUACGGGUGGCAGCAGUGGGGCAUAUUGCACAAUGGGCGAAAGCCUGAUGCAGCAACGCCGCGUGCGCGCUGAAGGCCUUCGGGUCGUAAAGCUCUGUCCUCAAGGAAGAUAAUGACGGUACUUGAGGAGGAAGCCCCGGCUAACUACGGGCCAGCAGCCGCGGUAAUACGUAGGGGGCUAGCGUUAUCCGGAAUUAAUGUGCGUAAAGGGUGCGUAGGUGGUUUCUUAAGUCAGAGGUGAAAGGCUACGGCUCAACAGUAGUAAGCCUUUGAAACUGGGGAACUUGAGUGCAGGAGAGGAGAGUGGAAUUCCGAGUGUAGCGGUGAAAGGCGUAGAUAUCAGGAGGAACACCGGUGGCGAAGGCGGCCUGCUGGACUGCAACUGACGUUGAGGCCCGAAAGCGUGGGGAGCAAACAGGAUUAGAUACCCCUGUAGUC